GAACCGUCCAAACGUUAUUCGGAAUUACUGGGCUUAAAGGGUGCGUAGGCGGCUUGGCAAGUUGGGUGUGAAAUCCCUCGGCUCAACCGAGGAACUGCGCUCAAAACUGCCAAGCUAGAGGAAGAUAGAGGUGAGCGGAACUAAUGGUGGAGCGGUGAAAUGCGUUGAUAUCAUUAGGAACACCUGUGGCGAAAGCGGCUCACUGGAUCUUUUCUGACGCUGAGGCACGAAAGCUAGGGGUAGCGAACGGGAUUAGAUACCCCGGUAGUCCUAGCCGUAAACGAUGAGCACUAGGUUGGAGGCUCCUUCAUAGGCUUCCGACCGAAGCGAAAGUGUUAAGUGCUCCGCCUGGGGAGUAUGGUCGCAAGGCUG
rnacentral:rRNA from 1 species